rnacentral:rRNA from 1 species
UACGGGGGGGGGCAAGCGUUGUUCGGAAUUACUGGGCGUAAAGGGCUCGUAGGCGGCCAACUAAGUCAGACGUGAAAUCCCCCGGCUUAACCAGGGAACUGCGUCUGAUACUGGAUGGCUUGAGUUUGGGAGAGGGAUGCGGAAUUCCAGGUGUAGCGGUGAAAUGCGUAGAUAUCUGGAGGAACACCGGUGGCGAAGGCGACAUCCUGGACCAACACUGACGCUGAGUGAGCGAAAGCCAGGGGAGCAAACGGG